GCUCUUCCUGGUCCAGCUCCCGCUGAACCCUGCUUUCCUUUCCUAAACUCACCUUGGAGAGGCUUACUGAGGUAUUUUUAGAAGUUACAAGGGUGACCGUGUGCUGAGAUUAGGCCCAGGUCCUAUGGGGUCAGAUUUUCUCUGCUGAAGAACGGAAAGAAAAUAGGAAAACAAACCAAGUCUACAGAGAGAUGGCUGAGAAAUCUCUGAACUGUGAAAAUGGAAAUUGUGUCUGUUUUAUCAAAUCAUAAGCUGUAAAAAUAAACAGUGCAAAGCUUUUCUUCUCAGAAAGUAAUUCCUGGCAAAUGGCCACUAAAGCCUGCUGGAUUUCAUGGUUGGGGGUGGUGGUGGAAACCUGGAGGCCGAUCCAUCCUGUGGUCUUCUUUGAUGACACUGUGAAGCUUGUUCCAGCAAUAGUCAGGAUGAGUCGGGCUGACUCUCCGUCUUGCUCCUAAAGGAAGGGAACAACUGUGGGUUCGCAACAGCUGUCUGUUUGCAAGAAAGAAGCAACUGUCUACGACAGAGGGAUCAGCCUUGGCCUGAACAGACCCUCCUAAGGGCUAUGUUCUAAAAGACAGGCCUCUCUGAGCCUCUCGGGAAAUUCACACUCAUCUGCAAGCUCCGCCCACCCCCAGCCAACACCAGGCAGUGGUGAAGCAUGUUGGGUUCAUAAGCAAUGUUUCCAGUCAACAAUUGCUAAAACUCAUGGGUAAAUUAAUG
rnacentral:lncRNA from 1 species